rnacentral:rRNA from 1 species
CAGCAGCCGCGGUAACACGAAGGGUGCAAGCGUUAAUCGGAAUUACUGGGCGUAAAGCGCGCGUAGGUGGUUUGUUAAGUUGGAUGUGAAAUCCCCGGGCUCAACCUGGGAACUGCAUUCAAAACUGACUGACUAGAGUAUGGUAGAGGGUGGUGGAAUUUCCUGUGUAGCGGUGAAAUGCGUAGAUAUAGGAAGGAACACCAGUGGCGAAGGCGACCACCUGGACUAAUACUGACACUGAGGUGCGAAAGCGUGGGGAGCAAACAGGAUUAGAUACCCCCGUAGUCCCUGUCUCUUAUAC